AUGUGGGACCUGGGGGGGGGGUUUCAUAGUUCAGUGGUGCCUGAGGCAGAAGAGGGACGGGGGGGUAAGUUCGGGAUGAGAGCAGCUGAGAAGAUUGUUGGUGUCUCCCUCCCCUCCCUCCAGGAAAUUUAUGGAACCCGUCUCACCUGUAAAGCCCUCUGCAUCGCAGGUGAUCCCACUCACCCAUCACACAGCUUCUUCAGUCUGCUGCCAUCAGUGAGGAGACUGCGGAGUCUCCAGGCCAGGACCAGCAGACUGAAGGACAGCUUCAUUCAUCAGGCUGUUAGGAAGCUGAACCCACCCCCCCCCACUGAAUUCUGAUCCUCAGUCCCCCCAUCCCUCCCCCAGCUCCCAUUAACACACUGGGACCUGCACCAGACACUUUGUACAGCAUUGGUCUGCUCACUACCUCAUUCAGCAGUUCCUGACCUCAUUCAACUACCUCUUCUGUCAGUUUAAAUAAAGAACUGCUCUCUGAGAUUUUUUACAUUUUAAUUAGACUGAAUAAGCUCUUUUGCACUACAAUCAUUAUAUCUGCACUGUUUACUUCACUGGUUUGCACUCUAUCUGCCAUGUGCCUUGUGCUGCUUUACUUAUCUUUCUUUUUACAUGACCUAUUUGUAUAUUUGCAUAGUUGUACUUUAUAUUUUAUUAUCUGUAUUUAAUGUUCUACUGUUAGUGUUAUCUGUAUGCACCAAGGGUCUGAGAGUAACGCAAUUUCAAUUCUCUGUAUGUAUGUAGUGUACAUGUGGAAGAAUUGACAAUAAAGCAGACCUGACUUGACUUGACUUGAAUAUACAAAAUAAUGUUCUUUUAAGCAACAUCAUAUGACCCCUUUAAUGUCAAGCACACAUUUGGAUUUGUGCCGAAUGAGACAGGUAUGUUGUGUUGGAUUUGCAUUUUUGUAGUUCACAUGGAGAUGAUAACUUGCACUUUUAAAACCGUUUUCAAUAACAAGAACCAUUGCGCAAUUACUGCAAGCGCAACUAAUAAAGAGCUACUGGCAGUGAGCCCUCAAGAUGAUCUGCUUUUUGGAGAGUAGACGGAGGAACACAAAACCCUGGCAUGGAGGAUCGCUGAUGAAUGCAAGUCGUGCUUAAGCUUUGCGUGUGUGAACUCAGGCUUUGGCAUGGUGCGUGAACGUAAGCGCAGGAACACAGCUCCCUUGACGUGAACAACCGCUCCCUGCUGCUCUGCACAUAACUCAGGCACUGCAGUGUAUGUUACGUGUGAGAAAGCGCAUCCACACACUCAGAACCUCAGCAUGAAUGGACACAGAGAAAGAAUACCUGCAUAAGAAACCACAAUCACAUAGCCUUGAGUCUUUUGUAAAGGUGAUGUCGUGGAGAGGAACAUGACGUAAAAGAUGCUGCCGUCACAAGCGCGUGAUGUUCCUCUAGAGCGGGAAGAGGACAGCAGCAGCACAGAACAGCCUUCUAGUCAUUUCUGUGCCAGUGCAGAGGGGGGUUGGCGGCACUGCAGAGGAGCAAAAGGACUGAUUAUAAAACCUGUCUAUGUCACAGAAAAAAACACUUCCUCUUGAGCAGCAGUGAGCUUGUGACGCAAAUAUGGAGAGUUCUAGACUACUGUGUGACGCAUACGCCAGCCUAAAUACAGGUAAAUGCUCUGCAGUCUGAUUCAUGAGCGCGUGAGAGAGUGUAUGAGAGUGAGAGAACAUCCAGACAGCCAAUCAGGAAGGAAGAGUCUACUAUCAUCACCACGACUCAAAACAACAACAUUGCCGUUUGCCCAUAUUUGGACAUGUUCUUAUUCUGAGUGCAUGGCAAUAAAAAAGUACAACGUAUAAAUUUUUUUUUUUUACAUUUAUGAGUACCAAAGAAAUUAUGAUUAAUAUUAUUGAGCAAUGAGUGAAUAUUUUAUAUUAUGAUAGCCAAUCAGGUGUGUCAAAGUCAAACAGUAAAUAUUUUUAAUUAAUAUAUGUAAGUUAAUUGUAAAUUAAAUGUAAAUUUAACUAUGUAAGUUAAAUGUACGUAUAAUUACUUCAACAUGGUGGGAAAAUCACCACACGCACAUUUGAACAAUCUGUUCUUACUCUGACUUUUAAAAAUACUUUUCUUUGUGUUAUCAAAAUACUUGUAAACAUUUGUUAGACCUUGCACUAAUUAUUAACCCCAAGAAACAAAUUGGCAACUGCAAAAUAAAUAAAGUGCCCAAACUAUUUUUUUUUUUUCAGGCUCUUGACAAAAGCAAAAAAAAAAAAAUAAAUAAAUAAAUAAAAAAUCCUAGCAUUCCUUCUUUUAUUUUUAUUUUAAUUUUUUAGCACCUUUAUUAAUUUGUUAGGCCUUGUAAUUCUUAACACUGGAAAACAAAAGGAGCAAAAUAAUAAAAUAAUGAAAGGGCCAAUAUGUUUCUAGGCACUUAUUAAAUCCCAAAAAAAAAAAAACACACACACACAAAACAACACUGUUAAAUUAUUUCUGUUUUAUGACAGAAAAUGCAGUGGGACAUGUUUGUCACCAUAAUUGUAUAUGAUAGAUAAUGCACAUUAUAAAAUGCAAACUAUAAGUAUACAGUAUUCAUCUCAUGCUAAAAUCUGAGGUGUGUUUAAAGCUUAAACACUGAACAUAUCCACAUCUAUGAUUGUACUGAAACUUAACUAUACUAAACUCACAUGACUGCAUGGCCUUUUGUGACUUACUACUCAGUAUUUACCCCAGUAAACCAAUCCAACACAGGGCUGGUUGUGCAGCACUCAGAGCUUAAAGAAUAAUGACACCACUGGCCAAUGACAAUUAUGUGCAUUUGGUGAACUACUGGCCUUGCUGCCAUUACUGAUACGAUCACAUGUGAUAGAUGACAAACCCCCUAACCCCAGCUUUCUGUGAAAGAAACCCUCGUCACCAGUCACAUGCUCACACUCUAUGACACAUUCUGACUCUGAAGCCCUCUGGGUCACUAAUUAUCCCCAUGACCUUUGACCUGAAGCUGGAUAUAGCCCACCUUCGUCAUGCUGCAGUGAAUACAUUUUUUAAGUUGAUUCGGUACUAAACAAAAAAUUUACAUAAUUUACAUACUAAUAAAUAUUGUUGGACUUAUGUAUGUUUAAGAGCAUUUUUGUUUUCAGAAUCUUAUUGUAAUAACUUUUAUUUGAAUUAUUAAUAGGUUAAAUUUAAGCCUAUGCACUUUCUAGCAGUUUUCACAUUAUGGAAGCUAAAAUGUGUUGCAAAAUUGUUUUUAUGUUAAGUAUAUUUUCAACACCAUGAAUCUUCAAAGCAGGCAUAUACACACCAAACAACCAAAUCAAAGAUUUACAUUUUCAUGCACUUGCCAGAUGCUUUUAUCCAAGGAGACUUGCAUUGUAUAUUAAGGUAAACAGUUUAUCAUUUUACACAUUUACUAGAAAACAAACCCAGAACUAAAUAAAACGUUUUAAUGUGCUUUCGCUUGCAAUAAGGUGAUGCAAAUCUUGGCAAGAAUAUGGGAAGUUUACGUUGUGGAUCCAUAAUUGGGCUAUUGGGAAUUAUGAGUUGUUUUCAUAUCAGGGUUGACUGCUUGCCCACCCAGUCAGAUCCAUGGAAAUACAUAUAUUUGUUAAAAUUUGUUAAAACAUUAAACAAUUUUAAUGUUUAAAUUCUUCACUAAUUACUUUA
ensembl:lncRNA